CUACGGGUCGCAGCAGUGGGGAAUUUUGCGCAAUGGGGGAAACCCUGACGCAGCAAUACCGCGUGAGUGAAGAAGGCCUUUGGGUCGUAAAGCUCUUUUCUUGGGGAAGAUAGUGACGGUACCCAAGGAAUAAGCACCGGCUAACUCCGUGCCAGCAGCCGCGGUAAUACGGAGGGUGCAAGCGUUGUUCGGAUUUACUGGGCAUAAAGGGCACGUAGGCGGCACAGCAAGUUAAGGGUGAAAUCCCGGGGCUCAACUCCGGAACUGCUCUUAAAACUGCUGAGCUAGAGAUAGUCAGAGGCGGGUGGAAUUCCAGGUGUAGAGGUGAAAUUCGUAGAUAUCUGGAGGAACACCGGUGGCGAAGGCGGCCCGCUGGGGCUAUUCUGACGCUAAGGUGCGAAAGCGUGGGGAGCAAACGGGAUUAGAUACCCCGGUAGUC
rnacentral:rRNA from 1 species